rnacentral:rRNA from 1 species
CCUACGGGGGGCAGCAGUGGGGAAUAUUGGACAAUGGGGGGAACCCUGAUCCAGCCAUGCCGCGUGUGUGAAGAAGGCCCUCGGGUUGUAAAGCACUUUCAGUGAGGAAGAACGCCUGGUGGUUAAUACCCAUCAGGAAAGACAUCACUCACAGAAGAAGCACCGGCUAACUCCGUGCCAGCAGCCGCGGUAAUACGGAGGGUGCGAGCGUUAAUCGGAAUCACUGGGCGUAAAGCGCGCGUAGGUGGCUUGAUAAGCCGGUUGUGAAAGCCCCGGGCUCAACCUGGGAACGGCAUCCGGAACUGUCAAGCUAGAGUGCAGGAGAGGAAGGUAGAAUUCCCGGUGUAGCGGUGAAAUGCGUAGAGAUCGGGAGGAAUACCAGUGGCGAAGGCGGCCUUCUGGACUGACACUGACACUGAGGUGCGAAAGCGUGGGUAGCAAACAGGAUUAGAUACCCCAGUAGUC